GGCGGAAUGGCCGAGUGGUCUAAGGCGUCAGACUCAAGCACAUUGCUUAUGUAGGCUUCUACACCAUAUUUGAGGUUUCUGAUCUCCGUAUGGAGGCGUGGGUUCAAAUCCCACUUCCGUCA
rfam:Strongyloides ratti strain ED321 Heterogonic genome assembly, chromosome: 1